AUUGAACGCUGGCGGCAUGCCUUACACAUGCAAGUCGAACGGCAGCACGGGAGCAAUCCUGGUGGCGAGUGGCGAACGGGUGAGUAAUAUAUCGGAACGUGCCCAGUAGUGGGGGAUAGCCCGGCGAAAGCCGGAUUAAUACCGCAUACGACCUGAGGGUGAAAGCGGGGGAUCGCAAGACCUCGCGCUAUUGGAGCGGCCGAUAUCAGAUUAGCUAGUUGGUGGGUAAAGGCCUACCAAGGUUACGAUCUGUAGUUGGUCUGAGAGGACGACCAGCCACACUGGGACUGAGACACGGCCCAGACUCCUACGGGAGGCAGCAGUGGGGAAUUUUGGACAAUGGGCGCAAGCCUGAUCCAGCAAUGCCGCGUGCAGGAAGAAGGCCUCGGUUGUAACUAGCUUUGUCUAGGGAAGAAAGUACUUCUGGGCGUAAUACCCGGGACGGAGUGACGGUACCU
rnacentral:rRNA from 1 species